GCGGGUGUAACUCAGUGGUAGAGUGUCACCUUGCCAAGGUGAAAGUCGCGAGUUCGAAUCUCGUUACCCGCUCCA
rnacentral:tRNA from 1 species